CAAAUUGGGACAAGAGACACCUAAGAUGCUAUACUUCAUUUGAAGAAAAUGUUUCAGUGGAAGCAAUAUCUUUGGAUGAUUCUGUAGUCUCGGACAAAUUUUCUUGAGCUCGAGUUGGAUUAGCUCGUUUUCCUCCCCUUCCCCUUAUGGGUCGGUCAUGAAGUUUCCAACAAGUUUCUUUUGUAUUCUUCAGUUUUCCACGAUACUCAUACUGCAUGUGGUCUUUGUAAGGAUUCUU
rnacentral:lncRNA from 1 species